rnacentral:lncRNA from 1 species
UCAAAAAUUGCUGUCUGCCGCAACCACAAGUUUAUAUAUGGUAAUAAGAUAUGCCCUCAUCCCCCAAGAUUAAUCAAACCAUGAUAAAGCUCAUCAUCUUGUUUUUCACUUUUCAAUUUUGUUGUUCAUACUGCUCAACCGUCUCUCUAACUGAACAUUUUUCAUCUUUUGUCUCUGCAAUUCGUCGACAAGGCUUCCAAUGCUCUGUUGGAGUUGAAUCACCUGCAAAUGCAGCUCUUUCUCUCUAGUUGUAGCAGGUGGUGCCUGCAGAAUAUCAACUGCUCCUGCCUCUAUUGAUUUUGUAUUCUUACCUGCAUAAGAUUGCUCUGUGUGCUUUAUCAGUUUAAUAAUAUCUUCCCUCUGUAAGCCAUUUUGUUGCAAGAUGCACAACGGUGAUGGAAGAAUAGAAGCGGCCAUUAAGUUUUGUUUUGGGGGACUGGUAGGAGUAGGACUAUGAUUUUAGAAUGACGAUUGUAAUCUUUUUAUUUUUGGAUUUAAAUUGUAAUUGAGCUUGAUAUUGGGUGUAUUAAAUUGGUCUCGAAAUGGUUUGUGUAUGGUUGAAUAUUAGCCGCAUUACAUGUCGGUUAUACGCAUAGCAGGGUGAUUUAUGUGAGUUGUUGGUUUGUAAUUGGAAUAGAAAUGUGAAUAUAUUAUGGUUUAUGGAAUUGAAAUGCUCAUAAUUAUGCCCAUAAUUGUUGGAUAUAUCUGUUUAUGAAAUUGAAAAUGAAUGUAUGUAUGGUUGAAUUGAAAAUUUGAUGGUUACAGGUUAAUAAAAAUGGAAAAGUGAAUGUAUGGCUUAUGUUGUAAUUUGAAGUGAUGUUUUAAUACAACAUUGCAUGGUUUGAAGAGAAAUUGAGCGGUUGAUUACACAUAUUGAAAUUGGAUUGGUUUAUGUGUGGUAUAGGAUAAAAAUGGUUUAGAAGGUGAAAGAAGAAUAUGGUCUAAAAUGAAAAUGAACAAAAUAAAGAAAUGGACUUUAUAAUGAACAUGGUUAAAAGUGAACAUUUACAUGAGUUAGGACUUGGAAAGUGUCAAUGGUCAUAUAGUUGACUUUGGUCAACAUGGCAAAAUUGUAGUUUUUCUUCAUGUAUUGAUACAUUUGAAUGCAAUAAUGGACUAAGGUUCCAUGGAUCUUAGAUGCAAAUGAAAUCAUGAACUAGUAAAUCCACAAUAAGAAAUGGUUGAUGCAUUAUGAAAGUAUGAAUAUGAAUGCACCACAAGCAAUGAAUCAAAUGACUAUGCCUAUAAAUGAAUCAAGGGAUGAACUAGUAAACACAUAUCAAGCCCUCAAUGACCCACUAGUCCAAAUAAGUUAAGGUUUAGGCUUGAGACACAUGAAUACAAGGUCAACGACUCAACCACAAACUUUUGAAUCUAUGAGGAUACUUGCAACAUUUGAUAUGAAUGGAUGGUACAUAUGAAAUUGGCAUGAAUAUAUGCAAAUGAACUUUAGGCCAAGUGCCAAAUGAAAAAUGAAAAAUUUUCAGGACCAAAAUCGGGGUAUGACAGUUGCCCCUAUUUAAGCAUCUUCCACCAGAGGAAAAUGAAACAACACUUUUCAUUGGAUGCAGUGGGGGAUGGUUAAAUACCAUGGAGACCCAGAUUUUGAUCCUGAAAAAUGCAAAUGCUAUGAUAUGAUAUGCAUGGAUACAAGACUUUCUUUUUUGUAAUUUUUAUCUGCUAGGGAUAUGGUGAACCCUUAACAGGAGAUGCUACUAGGCAGACCAAUCUGUGGGGAAUGCUGAUGGUCCAUCGGGAGACAGACAAAUGGUAAAAAACAACUUAUUGGGGAAAACAAUCCUGGUGGAGAGUCAGACACACACCGGGGAGUACUCAAAGUGAAAUUUGAUAAACGAUACUUAGAAUACAAGAGAUUUUGGUAGUAAGUUCACAUAUGACUUACUAAACCCGAAUAUGAAAAAUUUCUACAACAGGUUCAUACAUGACCUGACAACACCGAAACAAUCAUAGAGAAAGAUUCUUCAAAACAGGAUCAUACAUGACCUGACACUGGAAUAAAGCUCAACAACAGGUUCAUAUAUGACCUGACAAUGCUAGGGAAUAUCAAGAAAUUCUGACAACAGGUUCAGAUAUGACCUAACAAACUCAGAAAAAUUCAAGAAGAGUGUAUCAACAAGUUCAUUCAUGACCUGACAACACUGAAAUAAACAUAGAGAAAGAUUCUUCAAAACAGGUUCAUACAUGACCUGGUAAUACUGGAAUGAAAGCUCAACAACAGGUUCAUGUAUGACCUGAUAACACUGAAACAAACAUAGAGAAAGAUUCUUCAAAACAGGUUCAUACAUGACCUGGUAAUACUGAAAUGAAAGCUCAACAACAGGUUCACAUAUGACCUGAAUAAAGCUCAACAACAGGUUCAUAUAUGACUUGACAAUGGAAUAAAGCUCAACAACAGGUUCAUAUAUGACCUGAAUAAAGCUCAACAACAGGUUCAUAUAUGACCUGACAAUGCUCAACAACAGGUUCAUAUAUGACCUGACAAUGGAAUAAAGCUCAACAACAGGUUCAUAUAUGACCUGAAUAGUAUUGAACAAACAGAGAAAAAAAUCUUCAGUACAGGUUCAUGUAUGACCUGACACCGGAAUAAAGCUCAACAACAGGUUCAUAUAUGACCUGAAUAGUAUUGAACAAACAGAGAAAAAAAUCUUCAGAACAGGUUCAUGUAUGACCUGACACCGGAAUAAAGCUCAACAACAGGUUCAUAUAUGACCUGAAUAGUAUUGAACAAACAGAGAAAAAAAUCUUCAGAACAGGUUCAUGUAUGACCUGACACCGGAAUAAAGCUCAACAACAGGUUCAUAUAUGACCUGAAUAGUAUUGAACAAACAGAGAAAAAAAUCUUCAGAACAGGUUCAUGUAUGACCUGACACCGGAAUAAAGCUCAACAACAGGUUCAUAUAUGACCUGAAUAGUAUUGAACAAACAGAGAAAAAAAUCUUCAGAACAGGUUCAUGUAUGACCUGACACCGGAAUAAAGCUCAACAACAGGUUCAUAUAUGACCUGAAUAGUAUUGAACAAACAGAGAAAAAAAACUUCAGUACAGGUUCAUGUAUGACCUGACACCGGAAUAAAGCUCAACAACAGGUUCAUAUAUGACCUGACAAUGGAAUAAAGCUCAACAACAGGUUCAUAUAUGACCUGAAUAAAGCUCAACAACAGGUUCAUAUAUGACCUGAAUAAAGCUCAACAACAGGUUCAUAUAUGACCUGACAAUGGAAUAAAGCUCAACAUUAGGUUCAUAUAUGACCUGACAAUGGAAUAAAGCUCAACAACAGGUUCAUAUAUGACUUGAUAACACUGAAAUAAUCAUAGAGAAAGACUCUUCAAAAUAGGUUCAUACAUGACCUGACACUUUAUAAUGCAUCUGAUAGUUCUGGAGAUUGCUCAUAAGAAACUCAUCCGAUCAAAGAUUUUGGAGAAUCCUAAUAGGGAAUUUAUGCAAAACAAAGAUAAGCAGGAGUCUUCUUAUAAGUAGAUCAUCCGUGCAAAAGGCUAUGAUGAUUCUUUAUAAAGAAAUCAAACAAAACCAACAUCAUUGGAGUUUUCUAACACAAAAAACCUCCAAGCUUCUGGGAAUUCCUCAAGAUGAAGAGUCAUACAUGACUUUCACGGAACCAUCAGGAAAGACAGGGUAAUUAAACUCUCUGUACGUGCCAACAACAAUUGGACUUUUAACCGUAAGUAAUGGAUUAUAACCAACUUUUAACGGAUUUUGCCAACAACAAUUGGACUUUGACUGUAAGCAAUGGAUUACAACCAGCUUUUAACAGAUUUUGCCAACAACAAUUGGACUUGAAAAUGACUACGAAAACCGGAUGUUGGUUUAAGGGCACCAAAUACAAACUGGAAUUAGAGGUCAAAGGAUAUAGGAUCAACAACAAGACCCGGGUCAAUGCAAAAUGAGCACGAAGUACAUUUCGGCUAUGCAUGGUUUGGAUUUUCUUUUAUGCAUGAUAUAUGAAUGAUCAUGAUAUGCAAAUGAUGACACUUGAGUGGACAGGGAGUUAGUAAAGACUUUUUAUGGAAGCUCAUGAUUCCUUAACACCGAGAACUCAACCAAAUAUUUUAUGAUAGAUGUUGUCAAAGGAGAAUUCUAUCCAGUUUGAUAGCCACGACUUAGCCAAUGGGAUUCUUUUGGGGGAUUAAUGAAUCAUGCUAGCAUAAUUUCGGGGCACUCAUCUUAAACUCAAUAGUUGUUGACGUGUGGCAGAAUUCGUUUGAGCAAUUUGAAAGCACGAAGAAAGAGGUUCUGCCCCUCUGUGGCUCAUCUUGCCCCAGUCUGUUGGGUCUUUGAAAAUGUUCACCUUGAAAGUGGGUUUGGAAACAACUUGCCAUGAGACUACCUCGAGAUGGCUUGCCCCAAGUGUUUGAAACUUGCAAUGGCCUGAACUUGACUAAUCCAAAUGUUGGAAUGGUAGACUCUUGGUUGACUUUCCUUGGAUAGUUGGACUUAUUGAGCUCUGAGGUGGCUUGCCGCGGUCUGAGUCUUGAAGGAAAUUACUCUUGGCUAGAUGACCCUUUAGGGUGAUUGACUUGGAUUGACCGAUACUCAAAGUGAUUUUCCCCUGACAAGACUUCUUUCACUUUAUCAAGUUCUUCAACUGUAUAUUGUUGGAAUUUCUUUGAUGCUAAGUGUUGACUCGCAAAUAAGAUUGUUCAUUCAAAAAUGGUAAUUUUAAUUCAAUGCUUAUGCAAAAAUUUGAAAUCAAAGUUUAUUGAUAUGAAUCGGUGAAAUACAGUGAACGACUCGUUGAUAAGAACACAAUGGUGAUCAAGUCAUUCACGGUAUGCAAGUUGGUGCCAUCAAAUGAUUAACAAAAAUCGUUUGGAGUCAGGUUAACACGACCUUGUUGUAGUAUGCUUUCAAAAUAAACCCUGUCUCAAUUAGGUCUUUUAAGGGUUGUAAUGUGGCCUGGUUCACGGUUUUUCUAAACAAAAGGAUAUAGGGCUCAAAAUUUAUUGUUUUACCCACCCCUUUCUUCUUGAUCAUCUCCAGUUCCUAUGUUCAGUUAAUUCAAUACACGCAUUCGACUUCGAAGGUGCAAAAGUGAAAAUGAGGAUUCAAGGUGAGAUUUUCUUGAAAUGGAAGUCACCUUAUUUUUUUUUGUUGAGGAUUUAAGGACCUCUUUUGAUUGAUUUUCUUCAUCCCUGAUUUUGCCUGGACCGCUUCUUUGAAGCUUUCGGUCCAUCGGGAUGCCCUGACUUUUGCCUAAGUCAUUUUGUGGCGUUUGACUUAGCGGACUUUUUCUUUUUUUUUUUCACGUUGACUUCCAGGUUAUUGGUGGAUGAGGAUCAACCAACACUAAUUUUAGCUUUUCUCAACCUCUUCGACACUUCAACAUGUGCGCGAAGGAUAACAUGUGGUUGAACCUCAUUGGAGGGCGUACAUAUGGACGAUUUUUUUUGAAAGAUCGAAUGCACGAUCAAACUAUCUGAACAUAACUACCCUGUCCCAGGUUAAGAUUAAGGGUUUUAGAUCCGAAAUAAACGCCAACUUCUAGGCUCAAAGUGGUUAACUAGGGAUUAACUCCUUAUCUCUUCAGUGUUUGGGGAUUUGAAACAAUGCCUUACAUCAUCGACAAGGUUUUACUCAAAAGCAUNAACUGUAUAUUGUUGGAAUUUCUUUGAUGCUAAGUGUUGACUCGCAAAUAAGAUUGUUCAUUCAAAAAUGGUAAUUUUAAUUCAAUGCUUAUGCAAAAAUUUGAAAUCAAAGUUUAUUGAUAUGAAUCGGUGAAAUACAGUGAACGACUCGUUGAUAAGAACACAAUGGUGAUCAAGUCAUUCACGGUAUGCAAGUUGGUGCCAUCAAAUGAUUAACAAAAAUCGUUUGGAGUCAGGUUAACACGACCUUGUUGUAGUAUGCUUUCAAAAUAAACCCUGUCUCAAUUAGGUCUUUUAAGGGUUGUAAUGUGGCCUGGUUCACGGUUUUUCUAAACAAAAGGAUAUAGGGCUCAAAAUUUAUUGUUUUACCCACCCCUUUCUUCUUGAUCAUCUCCAGUUCCUAUGUUCAGUUAAUUCAAUACACGCAUUCGACUUCGAAGGUGCAAAAGUGAAAAUGAGGAUUCAAGGUGAGAUUUUCUUGAAAUGGAAGUCACCUUAUUUUUUUUUGUUGAGGAUUUAAGGACCUCUUUUGAUUGAUUUUCUUCAUCCCUGAUUUUGCCUGGACCGCUUCUUUGAAGCUUUCGGUCCAUCGGGAUGCCCUGACUUUUGCCUAAGUCAUUUUGUGGCGUUUGACUUAGCGGACUUUUUCUUUUUUUUUUUCACGUUGACUUCCAGGUUAUUGGUGGAUGAGGAUCAACCAACACUAAUUUUAGCUUUUCUCAACCUCUUCGACACUUCAACAUGUGCGCGAAGGAUAACAUGUGGUUGAACCUCAUUGGAGGGCGUACAUAUGGACGAUUUUUUUUGAAAGAUCGAAUGCACGAUCAAACUAUCUGAACAUAACUACCCUGUCCCAGGUUAAGAUUAAGGGUUUUAGAUCCGAAAUAAACGCCAACUUCUAGGCUCAAAGUGGUUAACUAGGGAUUAACUCCUUAUCUCUUCAGUGUUUGGGGAUUUGAAACAAUGCCUUACAUCAUCGACAAGGUUUUACUCAAAAGCAUACCACAACAAUUUCAGGUGUUUUUUCAUCAUCCUCCUUCCAAUCUUUGUUAACACAACGGUUCGAUAAACAAAAGUGAAUGAGAGGAGUAUUUUUGUUCUUAACAUAAAUGAGAAACGAGUGAAUGCGAAUGGAUUAAUUCAAAAGAUGCAUAAACAUUUCAUUAAUCUUACCAAUUCAAAGAAAACAACAAUGCUUAAAAGCAAUUAACAAUCAACAUGCAAGGAAACUACAAAAGAAAUGCUGAGACAGCCAAAUGAUUGCCAACUUUAGGGAAUCGACUUCUUCAAACUUGAAGGUUGGGAUCAACAAGCUUUUUGACAUUGGCAUGAUGAUCUUCAAAUUCUUUUCCUUCAAUCUCAUCGUUGAACGCAACCCUCUUGGAUCCACUACUCACUUCUCCUUUUCUUUCAUUGGUAUGGAUCGUGACAUUGGAAAUCCAAGGCGGUAUCUCAAUGCUCUUACCAGGAAACAAUGAUAGCUCAUUAGCCACAUCCCUGACAUCUUCCUUGUGGAACAAAACCUUGAGGGGUUUCAAGGGUCCUUUCCCUUUCUCAUUACCUGGCCCAGAAAUCAAGGUAUACGUACCUGCGUCUUCCUCCUCGAGUGUUGGUGACCUUAUGUCAAUCAAUCUUUGCAGCUUGAUCUUUAACUCUUGCAUUCCUCGAUGGAGUGCCCCAUCGUUCCAGUAUGGUAUCCGCACUUGAUCUUCGGGUGAUCUUCUUCAAAGACUAAGCUCUUUUUGUUAAUCAGUUCUCGUACCAAGGCUUUUAGCGCUAAGCAAGAAUCCCAGUCAUGUCCCACUGCCUUUUUAUGGAAUUCACAUGUUGCAUUUGGAUUGUACCAUGGCAGGUAUGGUGACGUAGGUGUGAGAGCUCGAGGGGUCACCAAAGCAUUCUGGAUCAGCUGUGGGUAGAGCUUGCUAUAUGGCACCGAAAUUGGGUCAUUGUGAUUUUUGUUCCUCUUGUUCUGAUUCUGAUUUUUGUUCUGAACCUGACUUCGGUGAUUUUGAGGAGGAAUAGCCAGAGGAUGUCGAUGAUGACGUCUUGAGGGAAGGCCAUAUACCGGUAGAUGAGGAGCUUCCACAUGGAAUUUCCCUUGACUUGAGGUAACACUAGAUGGAUGUGGAGUAGUAGCUCUCUUUGUUACCGCAAUGGGUAUGGGAUGACCCUCUUUUCUCAACAAGACUUGCAGGGUUUCCAAGACCCAUCUCAUUUAGCUCUUCAAAAGAUUAAGUUCCUCCUUCAGUGCUUCUUGGCUUUUCCUUAGCUCGUCCAUCAUCUCCUGAGACAUAGUUCUUUGUUCUAAACGCGUGUUGAGAAUCACUUUGCUGAUCAUGGACAAAGGAUGGAUGAGUUUGUUUUGGUAUUUUCGAAAAAUGAUAUGAAAUGCAUGAUGACAAAUGCAUAUACAAUGGUAUAUGAAUGGAUGUAAUGCAUUGUUUUUUUUGUGUUUUGGUAUGCAAAUAAAAUGAAAUGCAGGUAGUUAGAGUCUGGGAUAACAUGAGUAACUCAGAACACCCUACUAGGUAGGCUCUUUAACAGAUAGUUCUAGGAUUUCUACCCAUAAACCCACUCACGGGAUAGUUUCUACAUUUUUUAUAAGGUUCCCAGAGUCAUGGAUCAUAAUCGUAUCAACAUCAUGCAACAGGCUAGCCGUUUUAUGACAAGAGUGACGCAAGGUCUCUUCUGAGCAGGGUUUUCUUGUUGGGUGCAAAAAGGAGAGGCCCUUGGAGUCCAUCAUUACGCAACCACCAAAGCAGGAACUGGUUCUAAGAGGGGCUCCUAGAGUCAUGGACCCUUCAUGACCCAACGUCAUGCAACAUGCUAGCUGUCUUAUAACGAGAUCUAGAAACAGGUCUACUCUAGGGGAGUCUUCAUGCUAGACACGCAAGGAGUGGCCCUUGGGGACUAACACUACACAACUUCCAAUUCUAACUUAUGUGUUCUCUCUUCUUUUUCCAAAGCUCGGGUGUAGAGCUUUAUUCAUGAUAUCAAAAUCCCAACACCCACACAUAGAUAUCUAUAUAUAUAUAUAUAUAUACUUAUAUAAAAAUGCGAUAAAACAGAGAUAAAGAAAGCAUAUAACAAAGGAAGAAAAACAAACAAACAAAGCUAACACACAUACGAAAACUUAACUGAACUAGGGUUGACUCACUUAGGGAUGUUCCUGUCCCCAGCAGAGUCGCCAUCUGUCGCACCUCGAAAAAUGGGGAUACAACUUUAAGCGAGGCGCGAUCGCACGCUCGCAAUGAUGGACUGAACAGAGUCGCCACCGAACUUUAUUUAUUCCUNUAAGAAAGUAAAAGAGAAAUUAAGCGACGUUGCACAACUUUAUGUUCUAACAAUUUAAUGACCAAAAGAUGUUUGUGUCAUUAAUCACUUUUUUAAGAAGAUAUUUUUAACUAAAAUGACUUUUUUUUUUAAAAAAAUAAAUAAAUAAAUAAAUAGAAUAAAAAUAGUUCAAAUUUAAGAAAAUAUUAAUAAUAACUAUAACCAAUUAAUAUGUAAUUAAUUAUUUGAAUUAACUACACUUAAUAAAAUACUAGCAACUAUAAAAUAGCUAAAAUAGUUACGUAAUCUUUACUGUAAAACUAAAGGAUUUAUUGAUUUUAAAAUUGAUUUAGUUUUGUAAAUAUUUUAAUGACACCUAAAUCUAAUGAUAUAAGUAUGGGAAUGGAAAGUUUAACGUUACAACAAACAAUCCCAAACAACCCCAAAACGCAAUAUUAAAAAAAAAGAUCCACAAUAAAAAUACAAAAUAAAUAAAUAAAGGUAAAGAGAUGAUUAGAUGUGUAUGGUCUCUCUUAUUCAGUCUUUAGUGAAAGUGAAAAGCAGAGCUAAAACAAUCCUAUCAAAAGAAAAACACACGCCUCACCAUUCAUACCUCUCUUUCUAUCUAAACACACGAAGAAAAGCAUCAUAAAAAAAAGAAUCAAAGCGAUAAUCGAAUGAAAACCCGAAAAAUAAAGAGGGAUACCAAUCUGAGGGAAAAUCGUCCAUGUACGGUGAGACUGAGCAAAGGAUCUGCAAUGCGAGAUUCUUACUCACAACGACCAAAAAAUUGAAGACAAAAGACAAAAUCGUGAGGCGGUGUUCGUGAGUUUGUAUCUUCCUCUCUUCGCUAGGUUUUGCCCGCCGUUUCUGAAAAUUAGGGUUUUUGUGGUUUGGAAAAUUAGGGUUUUUUCGUGGCCGCCAAGAUAUAGGGUUUUUUCAUCGUGGUUUUUACCUCCUCCUACAGUAUUCGUUUCGAUCCUAUUUAUAUCCGCAACUUAGGGUUUUUGAGUUGUCUUAUGGAGAUCAUGCGGGCAUCUCCUGGAAGUGCUUUAAGGCGCUCAGAUUUUGGUCUGCCUUAUUUGGUACUCGACCUGAAAACUGUAAUGUGAACCUACGCAUUCUUGCUUUGAUUUCGUCUCAAUCCCUUUUGGGUUACUCUUUGAAUUUUAACGCUUUGCUAAUUACUUGUGUUUUACUGCAGUGAAAACUUGGUGAAAGUUCAUCAGUAGUUCGAUGUCUUGUUGAAGAUUUUUGCGGAAUUAGGCUUCCUACAGGUUAUGUUUAUUGUGGAAUUCUGUUAGAUUGACAUGCUUAACCUUCAUUUCUCUCCGCAGCAGGUUUGUCAAGUUUGAAAUUCUGCACGAAAUUGCAUUGGCCGCUGGUUGAUUUUAAU